UACGUAGGGUGCAAGCGUUAUUCGGAAUUACUGGGCGUAAAGCGUGCGCAGGCGGCUUUUCAAGUCAGAUGUGAAAUCCCCGGGCUCAACCUGGGAACUGCAUUUGUGACUGCAAGGCUAGAGUACGGUAGAGGGGGAUGGAAUUCCGCGUGUAGCAGUGAAAUGCGUAGAUAUGCGGAGGAACACCGAUGGCGAAGGCAAUCCCCUGGACCUGUACUGACGCUCAUGCACGAAAACGUGGGGAGCAAACAGG
rnacentral:rRNA from 1 species